AAUAUGUACAUAUGAAACAUGUACACGUUCAAAGGUUAGGUUUAGUCGUUUAACAAAAACAUCAGAUUUGACAGAUAUUCUAGCUAGCUGUCUG